rnacentral:rRNA from 1 species
UACGUAGGGUGCGAGCGUUAAUCGGAAUUACUGGGCGUAAAGCGUGCGCAGGCGGUGAUGUAAGACAGAUGUGAAAUCCCCGGGCUCAACCUGGGAACUGCAUUUGUGACUGCAUCGCUGGAGUGCGGCAGAGGGGGAUGGAAUUCCGCGUGUAGCAGUGAAAUGCGUAGAUAUGCGGAGGAACACCGAUGGCGAAGGCAAUCCCCUGGGCCUGCACUGACGCUCAAGCACGAAAGCGUGGGGAGCAAACAGG